GCAGGAAUUGAAGCAGAAAUCAUGGAGGAGCUAUCUGGCUCACCCUCGUCUGGUUUUCUUAUACAGCUCCACAUCCCCUACCCAGAGAGAGCAAAACUCACGAGAGUCCAGAGAAAAUUCUGCACUGAUCUUCAAAUUCUCCAAAUGUAGCAUGCUUGUCCUGAAGCCCCAGAGAAGGAUGGAGAAGAUUCCACUACUUGAAGACAACAGAGAAACCAUGUGAGGAGACCAGCAAAAAUAAAUAAAUAAAUAAAUAAAUAAAGUUCUCUUAA